rnacentral:rRNA from 1 species
UGUCAGUGAAGCGNNNNNNGCUCANAUUUGUAAGCCGGCGCCCACGGCGUCCGCGUUGUAAUUUGGAGAGGCAUCUUCGGUCAGGCCGGCCGGCCCCAUGUUCCUUGGAACAGGACGUCACAGAGGGUGAGAACCCCGUUUGGGACCGGCCGACCUGUUCAUCUUGAGUUGCCUUCGACGAGUCGAGUUGUUUGGGAAUGCAGCUCAAAAUGGGUGGUAAACUUCAUCUAAAGCUAAAUAUUCGUGGGAGACCGAUAGCGCACAAGUAGAGUGAUCGAAAGAUGAAAAGCACUUUGAAAAUAGAGUCAAAAAGUACGUGAAAUUGUUGAAAGAGAAGCGCUUGAGACCAGACUCGGCCGGUGGUGAUCAGCCGACCCCUCGUGGGCGGUGCACUCAUCGUCGGGCGUGCCAGCAUCGGUUGGGGCGGCGGGACAAAGGCCUCGGGAAAGUGGCUCCCCUCGGGGAGUGUUAUAGCCCGGGCGCGAAAUGCCGCCUGUCCCGACCGAGGACCGC